GGUGGGAGGUGUCCACUGCCCUGGUCAGAGGAGGACGGGGUUGGGGGAAUACUGGGCCCAUGGAUCGGAUUCAAGGGUGGAUGGCGAUACUGGGCUUGGGUGGCCUCAUGGGUCCCAUCUGUCAGGCAGAGGAAGGUAGUAAUAGGUGCAUGGGUCAGAUCCAGGCUGGCAUGGAUGGGGUUCCCGUCAAGGGGCUGCAUUGAAGCAGAAGAGUUACUUGGCUGGGGGUGAGCCCGUGGGUCCCACGGGAGGGUUUGUAUACUACAAGCAGUGCCCUCCUGCCAGGGUCCCCGUUGGGUCCCAGUCGUGCCCUUCACUGCCCAGCCCUGUCCUGGCAGUGGCUGAUGGGGAAAAUGUGGGGUCUUUCCAUUCUCCUUCAGCAUGGAAAUGGCCUCUGCUUUGCCUCCCACCCCGCUCAUGCUUUGCCUCCUGUCUCCUCUUCACAGCGGUGAUCAACGUGAGCCAUGAUGCGAUACGCAGACCAGCUGCCAGCUCUGGGUGGUGGAGGAGCAGUCCAUCAGGCAGGUCAACGGCGACUUCGACUGCAAGUGGGAGGUGCUGGAGGCCUCAGGCCAGAUUACUUUUGCAGACCUUCCUGGGAUGAACAGAGAAAUGGGGAGCCCGCUGUACGAGAGGAGAGUAAAGGAACUGCCUUGUCCUACCUUGUGAGAAGCAGACCGAGAGCGGAGAUGACUGCUUUCUGCGAUUACAUCCGAGAGAGCCAAGAGCCAUGCAAAAGAAAAGGAGAGUGCCAGCUCCAGAAAAAAUUAUGUCAAAUCAAGGAAAUGGUCAACAGAGAACUGCCACGCUCAUCACAUGUACGUGUGUCUCAGAAGCCAGUAAAGGCAAGAAAGCUACAUAGACGGACAAAAAACUAGAGCUCUUCCUUCCAAAAUGAUAUCUUUCAUUACACCAACUGGAGAAUCACAAGAAAAUUGUCCUUUUCUGCAAGCUUUCGGGAUCAAAGUCCCUUUGUCAAGCUCUGGGAAAAGUAUAGGUGGUACAAGAUGGUAAGGAGUCCCUAUAGGUAGAAAAUCAACUUCAUUUUUGCACAGAGGGAGCUGGAGAUGGAAGACUGUCCCUCCGGGUCCGUGAGAGUGUCUUUGUGAGCUGGGCCAAGUAGCUCUUUGCUGUGUUGAUCAGGUAGGACUCCUUCCCUGGAGGUGUCAGAUGGCAAGCGGGGAAGUAACAAAAACUUCCUUCUUAUUCUGCAAUGAAGUUUAAAACCCCCCAAAAAAAGCUACAUACACAUUUCAAUUGACAUAGCAGCUACAGGGAACAAAAGGCUAAAUACGCAUCUCAACAGAAACUUGUAAAAGAUACAGAAAAAAUGUCCUGUAUGUGACAAACACUUCUCCCAUCAAACAUCCUAAGGGGUAAGGUGUUCAAAAUGUCUGAACCAUUCAGUGCAGGUCUGGAGUUUGAAAAACAAACCAUCGCCUGUACACGCUACUGCAAAUGUGCCCAGCUGAUAUACAGAUACCCCAAGACAGGUUUGGUGACACCUCUAAGUAUCCUGUCCAACUGCUCAGGCCCAUCCAAAUGCUCAGACCUACAAUUAUAGGGUCUGCAGAGAUGCACAAGUUUUACCCCUAGACAAUGCAAGAAUAGGAGCCAGGCAAUUACUAGUUGUGGUAUGAUGAUCAACACCCUUUUCUCCCUGUUUGUCUGGACUCUAAGUGGCCAACUAUCAAGAAAAAAUGCUUUGAAGUUAUACAAUGAAACAAUAUAAGAACUAUCAGA